AUUGAACGCUGGCGGCAGGCCUAACACAUGCAAGUCGAGCGGAUGAAGGGAGCUUGCUCCUGGAUUCAGCGGCGGACGGGUGAGUAAUGCCUAGGAAUCUGCCUGGUAGUGGGGGAUAACGUCCGGAAACGGGCGCUAAUACCGCAUACGUCCUGAGGGAGAAAGUGGGGAUCUUCGGACCUUACGCUAUCAGAUGAGCCUAGGUCGGAUUAGCUAGUUGGUGGGGUAAAUGCCUACCAAGGCGACGAUCCGGAACUGGUCUGAGAGGAUGAUCAGUCACACUGGAACUGAGACACGGUCCAGACUCCUACGGGAGGCAGCAGUGGGGAAUAUUGGACAAUGGGCGAAAGCCUGAUCCAGCCAUGCCGCGUGUGUGAAGAAGGUCUUCGGAUUGUAAAGCACUUUUAGUUGGGAGGAAGGGCAGUAAGUUAAUACCUUGCUGUUUUGACGUUACCAACAGAAUAAGCACCGGCUAACUUCGUG
rnacentral:rRNA from 1 species